UUUAGUGGCUUGAAGCAAUCACUCUAUUAGGAUCAUGAAUUCUACAGGUAAGGAAUUCAGGUGGAACCCUGGGGAAGGGUUUCCCCUGUCCUGUGAUGCCUCAGUUAGGAUAUCCUGAGCUUGGGGAUGACUCAUUAACUAUGGGCUGGAGCCAUCUGAAGUCUCCUUAGCACAUAUCUGGUGCCUAGAUUGAACUGACUCAAGGACGAAGACUGAUGACUGAAGUAAUUACAUAAGGCCUCUCUUGGCAACCACAGACCAUGAUGGUCAGAGAGUGGUAGGAUUUCAUUCCCAGGGACCACAAGAAAUAAGUUAAUUAGCUGUUUCAGUUCUUCAUACUAGAAUCAGGCAGAUCUACAUUCUAUCUCUAAAAUGACUAGAAUUUUCUAUUCUUCACCUUCAACAGAGCCAGAUAAAAGACCUGGAUCCUGCCCAAUUUCACUGAUGUUCUAUGCUGCAACUCACUUAAUGGAUCAGCCUGGACGGAAUAUCCCCAUUAGCAUUGCUGCCACUGGAUCCUGGCUGCUGCUCUAGCAUGAAGCCCCGGAACCGCUUUGAGUUAGCUGCUCAGCUGCCUCCAGAACCACCCUCAUCUACUGCUGAUUUUGUCACUUCCUAAAGCUCCAGCAUUCCCAUAUAAAGCUUCCUGCUGACCAAACCUAGGAGACAUGUCUGCAUCUUAGCUCUCGGGGUGAAAAGAGGGAAUGAAUGUUCCUUCUGGUUCCCCAAAGGUAUUUCCAUAACAAGAUUCCUACCAGAUAAAAAGGGGUCUUAGAUUCUGAGCAGACAAAAAUGAAGGACAUACCCAUUGAACAUGCUUAAUCUGAUUAUUUAAUAAUUAAAUGAAUGGGUGAAAUAACAGGAAGAUUUAAUUAGUUUAUGCAACUACUCUAAUAAAAAGAAUUCGAAGCUGCUAGCCUUAGUGUUGAACUGUGACUGGGUAAAUCAUUUAACCUCGUGAGUUCUCUUGUCUUACAUAUAAAAUGAGAGUUUGGCCUCUGAUCUCA
rnacentral:lncRNA from 1 species